GACGAACGCUGGCGGCGCGCCUAACACAUGCAAGUCGAACGGAGCUGCGAGAAGCUUGCUUUUCUUAGCUUAGUGGCGAACGGGUGAGUAACGCGUGAGUAACCUGCCCUGGAGUGGGGGACAACAGUUGGAAACGACUGCUAAUACCGCAUAAGCCCACGAUCCGGCAUCGGAUUGAGGGAAAAGGAUUUAUUCGCUUCAGGAUGGACUCUCGUCCACUUAGCUGGUUGGUGAGGUAACGGCCCACCAAGGCGACGAUGGGUAGCCGGACUGAGAGGUUGACCGGACAGAUAGGGACUGAGACCCGGGCCAGAUUCCGACGGGAGGAAGCGGUGGGGGAUAUCGAACAAUGGAGGACACACUGAUGCAGCGAGGGCGCGUGGAGGAAGAAGGUGUUCGGAUUGUAAACUCCUGUCGUUAGGGACGAUAAUGACGGUAACUAACAAGAAAGCACCGGCUAAAUACGUG
rnacentral:rRNA from 1 species